rnacentral:rRNA from 1 species
AGAGUUUGAUCCUGGCUCAGGAUGAACGCUGGCGGCGUGCUUAACACAUGCAAGUCGAGCGAAGCACUUACUUUGGAUUUCUUCGGAAUGACGAGGUAUUUGACUGAGCGGCGGACGGGUGAGUAACGCGUGGGCAACCUGCCUCACACAGGGGGAUAACAGUUAGAAAUGACUGCUAAUACCGCAUAAGACCACAGCACCGCAUGGUGCAGGGGUAAAAACUCCGCGG